GUUAUAUGGUCAAGCGAUUAAGCGCAUACGGUGGAUGCCUUGGCAGCCAGAGGCGAUGAAGGACGUGAUAGCCUGCGAUAAGCGUUGGCGAGGUGGCAAAUACCCUGCGACCCAACGAUUUCCGAAUGGGGAAACCCACUCACCAUCAGGUGAGUAUCUAUAGGCCAAUACAUAACCUAUAGAGGCAAACCCGGGGAACUGAAACAUCUAAGUACCCGGAGGAAAAGAAAUCAACCGAGAUUCCCCAAGUAGCGGCGAGCGAACGGGGACCAGCCCUUAAGCGUGACAACUGACAGACGAACAAGCUGGGAAGCUUGACGAUACAGGGUGAUAGUCCCGUAGUCGAAGUCUGAGUCACGUGAAAUCGAGUAGGUCGGGGCACGAGAAACCUUGACUGAACAUGGGGGGACCAUCCUCCAAGGCUAAAUACUCCUGGCUGACCGAUAGUGAACCAGUACCGUGAGGGAAAGGCGAAAAGAACCCCGGCGAGGGGAGUGAAAUAGAUCCUGAAACCGUAUGCGUACAAGCAGUGGGAGCACCUUCGUGGUGUGACCGCGUACCUUUUGUAUAAUGGGUCAGCGACUUAUAUUCUGUGGCGAGCUUAACCGUAUAGGGGAGGCGUAGGGAAACCGAGUCUUAACUGGGCGACCAGUCGCAGGGUAUAGACCCGAAACCGGGCGAUCUAUCCAUGGCCAGGGUGAAGAUUGAGUAACAUCAAUUGGAGGCCCGAACCCAAGUAUGUUGAAAAAUGCUGGGAUGAGCUGUGGAUCGGAGUGAAAGGCUAAUCAAGCCCGGAGAUAGCUGGUUCUCCUCGAAAGCUAUUUAGGUAGCGCCUCACGUAUCACCGCUGGGGGUAGAGCACUGUUUCGGCUAGGGGGUCAUCCCGACUUACCAACCCGAGGCAAACUCCGAAUACCAGUGAGUGCAGCGUGGGAGACACACAGCGGGUGCUAACGUCCGUUGUGAAAAGGGAAACAACCCAGACCGUCAGCUAAGGUCCCAAAAUCCUGAUUAAGUGGGAAACGAUGUGGGAAGGCUCAGACAGCUAGGAGGUUGGCUUAGAAGCAGCCAUCCUUUAAAGAAAGCGUAAUAGCUCACUAGUCGAGUCGGCCUGCGCGGAAGAUAUAACGGGGCUAAAUCAGGUACCGAAGCUACGGGUUCAUCCUCUGGAUGAGCGGUAGAGGAGCGUCGUGUAAGCCAAUGAAGGUGGAUUGAGAAGUCUGCUGGAGGUAUCACGAGUGCGAAUGCUGACAUGAGUAACGAUAAGGGGAGUGAAAAACUCCCCCGCCGGAAGACCAAGGUUUUCUGUUCUACGUUAAUCGGAGCAGAGUGAGUCGGCCCCUAAGGCGAGGCGGAAACGCGUAGUCGAUGGGAAACGGGUUAAUAUUCCCGUACCGGAUGUGGUUGCGAUGGGGGGACGAAGAAGGCUAGGUGAGCCAGGCGUUGGUUGUCCUGGUGAAAGCAUGUAGGCCGAGGAAUCAGGCAAAUCCGGUUCCUCUGAGGUCGAGAUGCGAGACGAACUGACCACGGUCAGGAAGUCAUCGAUGCCACGCUUCCAGGAAAAGCCUCUAAGCUUCAGAUCACAUGCGACCGUACCCCAAACCGACACAGGUGGUCAGGUAGAGAAUACCAAGGCGCUUGAGAGAACUCGGGUGAAGGAACUAGGCAAAAUGGCACCGUAACUUCGGGAGAAGGUGCACCGGUUCGAGUGAAGGACUUGCUCCGUAAGCUCUUACCGGUCGAAGAUACCAGGUGGCUGCAACUGUUUAUUAAAAACACAGCACUCUGCAAACGCGCAAGCGGACGUAUAGGGUGUGACGCCUGCCCGGUGCCGGAAGGUUAAUUGAUGGGGUUAGCUCACGCGAAGCUCUUGAUCGAAGCCCCGGUAAACGGCGGCCGUAACUAUAACGGUCCUAAGGUAGCGAAAUUCCUUGUCGGGUAAGUUCCGACCUGCACGAAUGGCGUAAUGAUGGCCACGCUGUCUCCACCCGAGACUCAGUGAAAUUGAAAUCGCAGUGAAGAUGCUGUGUACCCGCGGCUAGACGGAAAGACCCCGUGAACCUUUACUAUAGCUUUACACUGGAUGCUGAUGUUGUCUGUGUAGGAUAGCUGGGAGGCUUUGAAACCACGUCGCCAGAUGCGGUGGAGCCAACCUUGAAAUACCAGCCUGACAUCAUUGGCGUUCUAACUCAGGUCCGUUAUCCGGAUCGAGGACAGUGUAUGGUGGGUAGUUUGACUGGGGCGGUCUCCUCCUAAAGAGUAACGGAGGAGCACGAAGGUACCCUCAGCACGGUUGGAAAUCGUGCAUUGAGUGCAAGAGCAUAAGGGUGCUUGACUGCGAGACAGACACGUCGAGCAGGUACGAAAGUAGGUUCUAGUGAUCCGGUGGUUCUGUAUGGAAGGGCCAUCGCUCAACGGAUAAAAGGUACUCCGGGGAUAACAGGCUGAUACCGCCCAAGAGUUCACAUCGACGGCGGUGUUUGGCACCUCGAUGUCGGCUCAUCACAUCCUGGGGCUGAAGUCGGUCCCAAGGGUAUGG
rnacentral:rRNA from 1 species